AAAAAAAAAAAAAAAUAGCUGGGCGUGGUAGCAGGCACCUGUAAUCCCAGCUACUUGGGAGGCCGAGGCAGGAGAAUCACUUGACCCCGAGGGGUGGAGAUCGCAGUGAGCCGAGAUCACGCCACUUCACUCCAACCUGGGUAAAAGAGCGAAACUCCGUCUCAAAAACAAAAACAAAAACAAAAAACUGGUUUCACCUCUUACAAGCACCUAGGAUGUGAGAUAGCUCAUGAGCAAAAACUUUAGUUGCCAACCUGUAAAGUGAAAUUCGAAAUACCUCCCACACAGGCAAAUAAUGGAAUUAAAUGAGAUAACACAGAAAAACACCUGGAACACAGCCAAUAAUUGACACAUUUUAAUCUAAUUGCACUCAAGGUGUGACCGAGAUGCUCAUUGCACAGCAGACCACAUCAUCCCCAACUUAGGAGGCCCAGGACCAGGAGACAGCACUUUAGCAGUGCCCCCUGGUGGUUAUGCCGAGAACUACCUUAGGAAGCCCUGGGUUCUUCCUUUCCCCCGUGGUGGUUGCUACGAGGCCGACCCAGUGGCCUGGGUUGUUGUUUUAUGGAUAAAUUUAUUUUCUUUGCUGAGAUGGGCUCGGGAGAAGAAUCACUAGCAAUUCAGUUUGCAACAACCUCGAAAAGUGGAAGAAAACAACAACAUGGCUUUGGAAAGAAAGAGUCCUGACAUGCUAAUAUCCCUUACCAGUUUUAAUGCAUUUAGAAAAGGUGGAUGUAAUGCUAUGGUCCAAAUGUUUGUGUCCCCCAAAAUUAAUAUGCUGAAAUCUUCACCCCCAAGGUAAUGGUAUUAAAAGGUGGGGACUUUGGGAGGUGAUUGGGAGCCCUCAUGAAUGGGAUUAAUGCCCUUAUGAAAGAGGAUUGAUAGCGAUCCCUCAGUCCUUCCGCCAUGUGGAACACGUGGGAGGCAGAAAGAAGGUACCGUCUACAAACCAGGAAACAGGCCCUAGCCAGACAUUGAACCUGCCAGUGCUUUGAUCUUGGACUUUCUCAGCCUCUAAAACUGUAAGAAGUAAAGUUCUGUUGCUUAAAAGCAACCCCAUCUAUGAUAUUUUGUUAUAGCAUCCUGAACAGACUAAGACAUAUAAGUAUGCCUGAGACCAGCAAAACCUAUGGGUUAAAAAAAAAAAAAAAAAAAAAAGUUAUGGCUGGGCGUAGUGGCUCAGGCCUGUAUUCCAGGCACUUUGGGAGGCCAACGUAGGGGAUCCCUUGAGGCCAGGAGUUCAAGACCAGCCUGGCCAACAGGGUGAAACCCAAUCUCUACUAAGAAUGCAAAAAUCAGCCAGGCAUGGUGAUGCACGCCUGUAAUCCCAGCUACUCAGGAGGCUGCGGCACAAGAAUCACUUGAACCUGGGUGGUGGAGGUUGCAGUGAGCCGAGAUCGUGCCACUGCACUCCGCCUGGGCAACAGAGCGAGACUGUCUCAAAAAAAAACAAAAACAAACAACCGUUACUCUCAUGAAGAAUUCCAUAAAACUAACAGGUUGGUACCCAGUUAUUUGGAGUAUCAUGUUAGCACUAAAUUAUCAUUUUUUCAUAUUGAAUCAAAGAGAAUAAAUGUUCCAAUGAAUCUGAGCAAUGAAGGGACAGCUUAGGAGCUGCAGACUUUCCUUUGCAGGUAUCACUCAGAUCUCAUUCUAAUGUGGGUAAUCCAACUCCUGCCUUCAUUCAAACAACCACACUUUGAAUUUCUACAUCUCCUUGGACUUGCCAUAAUAAUCAGAAACCAAGAGGGUCCUAGGGCAGCAAACUGGAACGAGAAGGUGGUGGGACAGGAAUUAGCGGGAGAUCAGACAUGCAGGACCAGAGACAGCCACCUAAAAGAGAAAAUGGGACUGAAGAACAGAAGAAAGCCUUAAUUUCAUGUCAACAGGUUGAUGACAUCACAUUCUAUUUGCCAUUUUAGUCAAGAUUAACUGCAAAAAGGUCCUCUCCAUGACCUUAGAUGCCCUACUUACAGAGGCUGUCCUCACAACUUAGGAGUGCAGAGCUUAGCGACAUUUUGGAAAUCUCCUAAGGUUUAAUCCUUAAAGGAAUUACAUGCUCAAAGAGAAAAAGAGGUAUAGCAGGAAGGUCAAUGGCCUCAGGUAGUCUGGACUUGUCCACAGGGAGCUAAGACAGUGGCCAAGGCUGGCUGCCAGAGUCAGGGACAGAAGCUGUCUCCCACCCACACCAUCAAGAGUCAUCUGAGGGCCAUGAACUUAAGCCAUAAGAAUUAUGAGGUCAGCAAUGUUUCUUUUAUGGAACAGGGUGGAUAUCAGGAAGGUCUGGAAAUGAAGCUAGAGAUCACAAAUUAGUAGAAGAAAAAACUAAACUCUUUUCCAAAUGGAAGAGCACCACAGUAAAAUCUACCAUCCCCACCUGUUUUUCAGGGGAAAGGUGCUUUGGAGAAGCGCUCAAGAGAUGAGAAGUUUCCACUGAAGCCUCAUUCCAGAGCAUCUGUAGCAGAGGCUGCACUGCCAUCCCCAGGACUGUCCUCUAAUUCCUCCCUACAGUGAAAAUGGGCCAGAAAAAUGACAUUUCUCAGUCUCCCUUUCAGGUACCUCCAGCCAUUGAGUUAUGUAUAUAUUCCUGGGGCUGCCAUAACAAUGCAGUGACUUAAAACAACCGAACUGUAUUGUCUCACAGUUCUGGAGCCUAGAAGUCCAAGAUCAAGGUGAUGGCAGGGCUGUGCUGCCUGUGAAACCCAUGAGGAAAUCCUUCCUUGACACUUGCUAGCCUUCUGCAGUUUGCAGACAGUCGUUGAGUCCCUUGGCUUGUAGCUGCAUCAUUCCAAUCUCAGCCUCCCUUGUCAUGUGGUGUUCUUCCUCUGUGUCUCUGUCCUCACAUGCCAUCUUCUUACGAGGACACCAGUCAUAUUGCACCAGGAGCCCACUUGACACCAGGAUGACCUCGUCUUAACUAAUUACAUCUACAAUGACCCUAUUUCCAAAUAAGGUCACAUUCUGAGAUACUGGGGAUUUAGGACUCAACAUAUCUUUUUUAGGUCAGGUGGGGCAGACACAAUUUAAUCUAUAACAAGAUAUAAGCAGAAGUUGUUGAUGGAGCUUCCAGAAAAGUUAUUUAAAUGGAACUGCCUCUGUUUAUAGAUGUGCCCUACUUCCCUUAUGUACCCUCCUCCUUUCUGUGGCCCUGAAAAUAAAUACCACCUGGGAUAGAAGUGUGACUACUGAUCUUCAGCAACCAUCUUGCUACCAUGAGGCAAACUUGGGAAGAGAAAACAUAUGCUAAGGAUACAAAAAGAGAGAGAGAGAGAAGUAGAAACAGUCGAAUCUCUGAUAAUUGUGGAGUUUCCAGACCACUAUGAGUUGUUUUUUUAAAUUCCAUCUUGCUUACAUCAUUGUUAUUUGGGUUUUCCAUUAUUCACAGCUGAGUUGAAUCCUAACUGAUUCAUGCAUGCUGAGGAAAACAUCUCCCUCCACAAGUCAGCACCCACAGGAAGAAAAGAUGGGAGCCGUGGAUGUGAGCGAUGGGCAGGAUAGCUGCCUGGCUCUCUACCUAGUGCAUUGGUAAGCCGCCACCCCACAGUUGCAGGCAACCAGAGCACCAGAGCCUGUGGCAGCCCCACAGUGGUGGCAGCAAAAUGAGAGGCACAGAGGGUGUUCACCACAGACAGUGCUGAGUGCAGCAGGGGCAGUACCAGUCACUGUUAUUUCAGAUUCUCAGUCACAGCUAAAUCUACACCACACUAUCAGAAAGGAGAGACAGCAGAUCUUAAUAAUUCUUUUCCCCUUUGGGGCUCUAGUGCAGGGAUCAUCCAAUGUUUCUGUAGAGGGCCAGGCAGCAAACAUUUUAGGUUUCAAGGGCCUUACAGUCUCUGCUGCAAUUGCUCAGCUCUGAGAUUCUCCUGCAAGGGCAGUCAUAGGCAACGUGCAAAUGACUGGCCACAGUGGUUGCUACGAUUCAAACGUGUCUCCUCCAAAAUUCAGGUGUUGCCAAUGUGAAGGAAUUCAGAGGUGAGGCCUUUAAGAGAUGAUUAGGCUAUGGGGGCUCCUCCCCCUUAGGUGGGAUUAAGACCCUCAUAAAAGAAGCUUCCGGCAGCAUUUGGCCAGCUUACACUUCUGCAAGGGGAGCCGGGUGAGGACACGGCCUUUGUUCCUCUUGCCCUUCCACCUUGCAACACGGGACACUCAACGAGAAGUCCAUCACCAGACACCAGAUGCAGGCACGUUCAUCUUGGACUCCCCAGCCUCCAGAACGGUGAAGAAGAAUAUACCUACCCUUCCCAGGACCACACAUCUAGGAUGUGACAACCCAGGUUUCAUACUUAAGAGUGUGGACUCACAGCUGGCCUUCUCCCCACUGCUGUGCCACCUCUAAGAUUUGCAUUCCUGGAUUAUACACAAGAGUUUAUCAGAAUAUGAUUAAUUUUACUAAAUAUAUAUCUCACAGAGCCACCUCUCCAACAAUGUCAGCUACGUGGGCAACCAACGCUCAUGUACACUGCUGUGAGGAGAGGGCCACUGGCUCGUG
rnacentral:lncRNA from 10 species